GAUUAGCUUGUUGGUGAGGUAACGGCUCACCAAGGCGACGAUCCCUAGCUGGUCUGAGAGGAUGACCAGCCACACUGGAACUGAGACACGGUCCAGACUCCUACGGGAGGCAGCAGUGGGGAAUAUUGCACAAUGGGCGCAAGCCUGAUGCAGCCAUGCCGCGUGUAUGAAGAAGGCCUUCGGGUUGUAAAGUACUUUCAGCGGGGAGGAAGGUGUUGUGGUUAAUAACCGCAGCAAUUGACGUUACCCGCAGAAGAAGCACCGGCUAACUCCGUGCCAGCAGCCGCGGUAAUACGGAGGGUGCAAGCGUUAAUCGGAAUUACUGGGCGUAAAGCGCACGCAGGCGGUCUGUCAAGUCGGAUGUGAAAUCCCCGGGCUCAACCUGGGAACUGCAUUCGAAACUGGCAGGCUUGAGUCUUGU
rnacentral:rRNA from 1 species